AUGAACGCUGGCGGCGUGCCUAAUCCCUGCAAGUCGAGCGAACAGACGAGGAGCUUGCUCCUCUGACGUUAGCGGCGGACGGGUGAGUAACCCGUGGAUAACCUACCUAUAAGACUGGGAUAACUUCGGGAAACCGGAGCUAAUACCGGAUAAUAUAUUGAACCGCAUGGUUCAAUAGUGAAAGACGGUUUUGCUGUCACUUAUAGAUGGAUCCGCGCCGCAUUAGCUAGUUGGUAAGGUAACGGCUUACCAAGGCAACGAUGCGUAGCCGACCUGAGAGGGUGAUCGGCCACACUGGAACUGAGACACGGUCCAGACUCCUACGGGAGGCAGCAGUAGGGAAUCUUCCGCAAUGGGCGAAAGCCUGACGGAGCAACGCCGCGUGAGUGAUGAAGGUCUUCGGAUCGGAAAACUCUGUUAUUAGGGAAGAACAAAUGUGUAAGUAACUAUGCACGUCUUGACGGUACCUAAUCAGAAAGCCACGGCUAACUACGUG
rnacentral:rRNA from 1 species